UACGGAGGGGACUAGCGUUGUUCGGAAUUACUGGGCGUAAAGCGCACGUAGGCGGAUUUGUAAGUCAGGGGUGAAAUCCCUCGGCUCAACCGAGGACGUGCGGAAGAAACUGCGAGGCUCGAGUCCAGAAGAGGGGGGCGGAAUUCCCAGUGUAGCGGUGAAAUGCGUAGAUAUUGGGAGGAACACCGGUGGCGAAGGCGGCCCCCUGGGCUGGUACUGACGCUGAUGCGCGAAAGCGUGGGUAGCAAACGGG
rnacentral:rRNA from 1 species